rnacentral:rRNA from 1 species
UUGGAGGGCAAGUCUGGUGCCAGCAGCCGCGGUAAUUCCAGCUCCAAUAGCGUAUAUUAAAGUUGCUGCAGUUAAAAAGCUUGUAGUUGAAUUUCGGGACCAUCAUGUCGGUCAUGCCUCGGUACGUACUGGUAUUGUUGGUUUCUCCCUUCUGACGAACCAUGAUGUCAUUUAUUUGGUGUUGUGGGGAAUCAGGACUGUUACUUUGAAAAAAUUAGAGUGUUUAAAGCAGGCUCACGCUUGAAUACAUUAGCAUGGAAUAAUGAAAUAGGACGUUUGAUUCUAUUUUGUUGGUUUCUAGGAUCGACGUAAUGAUUAAUAGGGAUAGUUGGGGGCAUUAGUAUUCAAUUGUCAGAGGUGAAAUUCUUGGAUUUAUUGAAGACUAACUACUGCGAAAGCAUUUGCCAAGGAUGUUUUCAUUAAUCAAGAACAAAAGUUAGGGGAUCGAAGACGAUCAGAUACCGUCGUAGUCUUAACCAUAAACUAUGCCGACUAGGGAUCGGAUGAUGUUAAUUUUUAAUGACUCAUUCGGCGCCUUACGGGAAAC